AACGUACGCUGGCGGCACGCCUUAUACAUGCAAGUCGAACGAGAAAGUUUCCUUCGGGAAAUUAGUAAAGUGGCGCAAGGGUGAGUAUCACGUGAAUAAUCUGCCCUCGAGAUCGGGAUAACAUGGUGAAAACUGUGCUAAUACCGGAUAAGACCACAUUUCAUAAGAAGUGCGGUAAAAGGAGUCUCAAUCUUCACUCGAGGAUGAGUUCGCGCAACAUUAGCUUGUUGGUGAGAUAAAAGCUCACCAAGGCUACGAUGUUUAGCCGGCCUGAGAGGGUGAACGGCCACACUGGAACUGAGACACGGUCCAGACUCCUACGGGAGGCAGCAGUGGGGAAUAUUGCGCAAUGGGCGAAAGCCUGACAGAGUAAUACCGCGUGAGGGAUG
rnacentral:rRNA from 1 species